GAUGAACGCUGGCGGCGUGCCUAAUACAUGCAAGUCGAGCGAACAGAUAAGGAGCUUGCUCCUUUGACGUUAGCGGCGGACGGGUGAGUAACACGUGGGUAACCUACCUAUAAGACUGGGAUAACUUCGGGAAACCGGAGCUAAUACCGGAUAAUAUUUCGAACCGCAUGGUUCGAUAGUGAUAGAUGGUUUUGCUAUCACUUAUAGAUGGACCCGCGCCGUAUUAGCUAGUUGGUAAGGUAACGGCUUACCAAGGCGACGAUACGUAGCCGACCUGAGAGGGUGAUCGGCCACACUGGAACUGAGACACGGUCCAGACUCCUACGGGAGGCAGCAGUAGGGAAUCUUCCGCAAUGGGCGAAAGCCUGACGGAGCAACGCCGCGUGAGUGAUGAAGGUCUUCGGAUCGUAAAACUCUGUUAUUAGGGAAGAACAUACGUGUAAGUAACUGUGCACGUCUUGACGGUACCUAAUCAGAAAGCCACGGCUAACUACGUG
rnacentral:rRNA from 1 species